rnacentral:rRNA from 1 species
CCCUACGCAAGGGAGCGAAUUCGGGAACCGAACCCCGAUGCUGAUCGAUCAGUCGGGACUGGCCGGUCCACCACCCCCGCCCUUCCAGCACCAAAAGGAGGAGGAGACCCGGCCCACGGCGUACCUUUUGCAUAAUGGGCCAGCGAGUCGUGGGGAAGCAGCGGCUUAAGCCGGUAGGUGUAGGUUCGACCACGGUGGCUGGUCCCGCCGGUCCCCGCCCAACCCGAACCCGAUUGAUCUAGCCAUCCGCAGGUUUAUGGGGGCGUACAGCCCAAUCGUCGGAGGACCGCACCCCGGCAUGUGGCAGAAUGCGGGGAUGACCGGUGGCUGGGGGUGAAAGGCUAACCAAAAUCGGAGAUAGCUGGUUUUCCGCGAAAUCUAUUCAUGUAGAGCGCCGAUGAGUUGGCCCAGGGUAGAGCACCGACGGGGGGGCACGGCUGGCCACCCGGCCCGAGCCGCCCGUGGCAACACCGAAUAAGGGCCGCGGAUCCGUCCGUGCAGACAGAGCCCGGGUGCGAAGAUCCGGGCUCGAAAGGGGAAUAGCCCAGAUCGUCCGCUAAGGUCCCGAAGCGAUCACUGCGUGGGCAGACGAUAGUGAAGGCCGUGAUCCGGCGAUGACACCCAGAGGUGGGCUUGGAAGCAGCCAUCCUUGAGAAGAAAGCGUACUGGCUCACUGGGAGAGCGGAUCCGGCCGAGGAUGAUCGGGGCGGAAGUGAGGAUCACCGAAGCGACGGGACCGGUGGGUGGGGGAGCCUGCUGGCCUCCGCCGAUGGCGCACCGAGUGUCCGUAGCGGAACGUUCUGUUCGCCGACCCCCGGAUGACCGGGGGGAGAUCACAGAAGUGAGAAUGCUGGCAUGAGUAAUGAGAAAUGGAGAGUGAAACUCGCAUCGCCAGCAGUUGCCGGGUUCCCGCGCGCCGUGGAUUGACGCGGGGUUACUCGGCCCCCGAGACACGCCGAUCGGGCCGACGAUGGGGACGCGCCCACGCCACGAAGCCAGGCGAGAACGUCGUAUCGACCACCGACCGGGUGGUUCGAUGACCGGGCACGGUGGAUGGGGGAACCGCCCGUUCCCCGAUCGGUACAGGAUCCGCGGGGGAGGCGGGCACUUCAGACAGGACCAGGGCGCCGGUCAUCAUGGUGGGGUUGCUUGGUGGAGCCGGGCGAGGGGAUCCGCUCCCUGACGAUCGUGCCAUGCCCAUGAACCGUAUCCAAACCACGGAUAUGCCCGCCCCGAGUGACGGACACUGCUCCUCACCGGCGACGUAUUCGCCGUAACUGAACCCGACACCGGGUUACUGGUGAAAGACACUGGGGCGCGUGAGAACCAUGCUGAAGGAACUAGGCAAAAUGACCCCGUAACCUCGGGAGAAGGGGGACUCACGGGAAUGGACCGGAGAGGAGGGGCACGGAAGCGGGGGUAGCGACUGUUUAUUAAAAACAAAGGACUCUGCGAAGUGCGAACACGGCGUAUAGAGUCUGAAACUUGCCCGGUGCUGGAAGGUGAAGAGGAGAGGUUACGCAGCCUCGAAUCGAAUUCCCGGUAAACGGCGGCAGUAACCCCAACUGUCCUAAGGUAGCGAAAUUCAUUGUCGCAUAAGUAGCGACCUGCACGAAUAGUGUAACGACUGCCCCGCUGUCUCCAGCAUGGACCCAAUGAAAUUGACCUAUCCGUGAAGAUGCGGAUUGCCCACGGCAAGACGGUAAGACCCCGUGCACCUUUACUAUAGCUUUGCACGGGCACCAUGGUUCGACCGCCGAGCACAGGUGGGAUGGCGCACCGAUCGUGAAAUACCACUCCAGCGUGAUCCGGUGUGCCUAACCCGCAUCCCACGAGGAUGGGCGGAUAGGCAUGGUGGGUAGUUUAUCUGGGGCGGAUACCCUCCAAAGAGUAACGGGGGCGCGCACACGGCGGGCUGGGCCGAAUCCGGGCUGGGUUGUGCAGCGCACGGGUAUAAGCCUGCCUGACUGUGAGACCGACCCGUCGAACAGAGACGCAAGUCGGCCCGAGUGAUCCGGGAGCCCGGUGUGGAAUGGCUCCCGCUCGACGGAUCAAAGGUACGCCGGGGAUAACAGGCUGAUGACUCCCCAGAGCUCUGAUCGACGGAUUCGCUUGGCACCUCGAUGUCGACUCAUCACCUCCUGGGGUGGGAGCCGGCCCCAAGGGUUCGGUUGUUCGCCGAUUCAAGUGGUACGUGAGUUGGGUUUAGAACGUCGUGAGACAGUUCGGUUUCUAUCUACCGUGGGAUCGGAUCGAGAACUGCCGGAGCAGCCCUCCAGUACGAGAGGACGGGGAGCGUGCAACCCCUGGUGUACCGGUUGUACGGCCGAGUGCAGCGCCGGGUGGCUACGUUGCCCGGGCCAACGGCUGAAGGCAUAUAAGCCGGAAGCCACUCUAUAGACCGGUUCUCCGGCUGAUGGGUGGGAGAGCACCACCUUGAUGGGCGAGAGGUGUGGCCACCGCAACGUGCAGGAGCCGACUCGUCCCAAGCAGACCGGUUUUGGCCUCUUCCCGCCGCCCCCCCCUCCUGUGGCCCAUCGGUCGUGUGCCCGAUCCGCCUUCCGCCUUUCGCCCGUACCCCUCCUCAAGGAUCGGGCUUUCCACACCACGAUGCUUGGGCAGGACAGAGACGCCCA